UCUGCCUGCCUCUCUGCCUACUUGUGAGCUCUGUCAAAUAAAUAAAAUCUUAAAAAAAAAAAAAAAAACAAUUCAGUGCUAGCAAGAACUUAAAAAACGAAAUCCUACAUUAAUUCCCUUGAAUACUGGUGGUCUUGAGCGUGUAGCGUAAGUUCAGUAAUGAUCAGAAGCAGUUCCUAAUCUUCAGUGUGCCGUGUCUUUCCCCUCCUCCCUACGGCUCUCCUUUUUGUUUGUUCCUAGAUGCCCCUAAGAGCUGCUUCCCCAUCCCUGUGCUCUCUUGGGCAAAGGUAUCUUGGCUCUUCUUUUCCUAGACCCUCACUGUUCCAGCUAAUUUUUUAGCAUUUUGUCAGGUUCCACAAAAACUGUUGCUUUGCAUUCAUUUCUUGAGGGAAGGUUGGCUGUUGCAGCUUAGUGUUGCUGCGGUAGAACCGCGAGCUGGAAGGAGUAAUUCCUGUUCUCCCACCAGUGAUGCUCUUCUGCUCUUUACCAGCGUCGAGCGGGAUGAGAACCAGUCUGUGCUCUCACUGGCUAACGAAAAGGCUCAGUGCGGUUACGGGAGCACUGACACAUUGUUCCGUAACAGGCGUAGCUGUCGGAGUGUGUUUCCCAGACUGAUUGGAGAUCAGACCCAUCACACCUUAAAUCCCUAAGUCACUGUGCUGUGUAUGUUUUUGUACGUGUGCUCAGACCUUCAAAUAAAAAGCAAACACAAAGCCACACGGGGCCUCUAGCUUGGCGUAUUCUGCACUUCCCAGGUGAUUCUGUUUCUGCUUUACUGGGCCAGCUACUAGGGGAACCCCAACACAACAUGAUGAAUGCAGAAGACCUCAAAAAGGAGAAUGAAGGGAAGUAGACUAGGCUCCCAAGGAUGCCUCUUUGGCAUAAGAAUUGUUUUUAAGGAACAACAGACACAGGAAAAGCAGGGGUUACUUUUUGUAAUGAAAUUCGUAAGCAAAUCUCCAUUUGUAAGGGUGUCUCCCUCUUUGUAUUAAAAGGAGGAGGACCCUCAAUCACAAGAAAUGCUUAUGAGGAAGAGCCCAACUUACAUCUGCAUGUCGACCUUAACCAUACAUUUCCUUGUAGCUCCCCAUAAUUGGCCUUCCCCACCCCCAACACCUUUCUCGUGUGGGGAGAAAAGUAGGGUGAUAGCCUGGCCCAUUUUAGAGGGUUACUCAGUUUUCCUGCGUUUCUCCCAUGUUUACAGAAGGUGUACAUGUUACUAAACUGUUUUUCUCCUGUUAAUCUAUCUUUUAUUACAGGGAUGGGAUCCCACCCAACAAUCUAGAAAAAAAGAGGGGAAAUUAUUUUUCCUCCCUUACAGUUUGGUGACUCAACAUGGACUUGCUGAAACGGUGUACUCCCCCGGAGCCUGCAGACAGGAUCCUGGAAAACUGGCAGAAGCUGGCAAAGGGUGUAACUGAACCAACUGGAGUUUGUUCCCUGGCCAGUCAAGAUAAACAGUACACCCAGCUGGGUUGUUGGACAAAGUAAAAUGUGCAGCAAAAAAGGAGUUCACAGGGCAUAACCUCCAAAGCUAUGACUCCCUGAAAAUGGGGAUCAUUACAGAGAAAGAUGAAGCUUCAGUGGAAACUCUACUACACCCCUAAAUGCUGAUUAAAUCCCUGCUUGCAUUGUACAGGCCUAGCUGGGCUUCCACCUGCUCCUCCAGCUCCCCAAAUGAGCCACCCUGACCUGUUCGCAAGACCGAGACUGGUUCCAGGAAACUACGGAACAAUCUGUCAAUCCACUCAGCUUCUGGACUGUGAAGUCAGCUCUGCAGAGCCCACUCUGCGACAUCAAAGACAUGCCGCACCGACUGAGCCAGCCAGGCUCGCCUGCUCUCGAGGAUUUCUAAGAGUAAAGAAAUAAGAACUUCCCUUUAUAGAGGGCAGCGGUCAAAGACGUGAAAGCCUUGCACGCCCACUCCAGAGGGAUAAGUCUGUCUCCCUGCAACUCCUGCAUACCUGGACCCGUUCUUCUAUGCAGCCCAUUCUUGGCAGUUAAGAUCUGGAAUUCAUUACCCGACAGGCUACACUUGGAACAGCAAGAUAGUGUAACCUCCAGAACAGAACCUAACGCCAGAGCAGGCCGGCCUCUUGCAAACACACAGCUGCCCCUACCCACCCAGCAUACCUCGUUGUCACACUCAGCCAGGACCUGGUCGUAUUCACUCAGCGCAACCAAAAAAAUAAUGGAGGUGACACUCUCAAAGCAGUGAAUCCAUUUCCGUCUCUCAGAUCGCUGGCCACCAACAUCUACCAUCCUGUUCGACACAAACACAGGGCAUCCAAAGGUUGGAACACAUGGCUCUUUGGAGAUGGACAGGAAUCGUCAUAUCGUGACAGUCUCAGGUGAGUUCCUCUCUCGUCCAGGACUGGAGACCUCUCGUCAUGUUACACACUGAGAUGGAGAGGGUCAGAUGCCUCCAGGAGACCCAUCCCUUUGAGGAAUAACACACUUAAGAAUCCCUCCAGGGACUUCCAAGGCCACACAGAUUGGGAGGACCAUGUCAGGGCGACAGUCUUACCGAAAGAUGAUGUUUUCCAAGUCAAACGGAUACUCAAUGAUGCCGGUGGUGGGCACUCGGACGCGAAGCACGUCUUGCUGUGUCGGCACGAACGACGGCGUGGCGAUGCGGUCAAGGUCACUCAGGUAACUGCGGGACCAGACGACAAGGCUCCAAGACUCAAGAGAGAAACGUCCACCCUACGACUCCCAGCACCCCCACGAGGUUCAUGGGUUCCAUCCGUGCCCACCCGGAAAGCUGGUGCUGGGCGGUCUCCCCACCCCCAGCUAUGUUUGGGAGAGAAUAUGGAUCAGAAGCUUCCAUGAGUCCUCAUUAUUCCAGGGAAGUCCGGGAAUAAUGCCAUCUCUUCCUCCAGGCUCUAAGCGUUCCCUCUCCCUGGCCAGUGAGGGAUCCAGCGGGUCAGAAGGAAGGGAUGUUGGGAUCUGGUCUCUGCCCUCUCAGCUGCCUUCCUCCUUCAAAGCCCCCUGCCCCCGACAUUCACCCCACCCACAAACAUCGUAGGAUGGAGAUGAUGUUCUUAAAGUCUCUGCUCAAUGACUUUGAGUUUCUAUGAAAAUACAAAGGUAUAAUACAGGCCAAUUCAAAGUUCUUUCAAAAUUACAAGAUAAAGUUUACUGUUCACUGGGACAUUAAACAUCUAAAAUCAGCCAACACUG